rnacentral:lncRNA from 1 species
CACAACACAACAAAUUAACCAAAAUUAAUUAUUUGGACCCAAGUUUUUGUUUUUUAUUUUUGAAUUUUCUCUAUCUAUUGGGGUCCCUACCACUGAAUUUUGGAUAUAAAUCAUAAACAGUAGUCCAAAUUUUAGUGACGGCCAACCAAAUUUUUAUGAUGUUAAAAAUCCACAGAAUUAUUAUUUGUUUGUUUUCAUUUUCAUCCACAUUUCUCUGUCCUUUGAAAGUAACAUAUAUUAUUAGUUAUGUUUACUGUUAUAUACGUGGAGAAAAGACAACGCAAUUUGGUGGGAGAUUUAAAAUUACCUUGACCUAGGACAUUUAAUUCCUAGUAGUGUGGAGGUGGCGGUGGCGAUGAGUAGUAAUAAACGGGAGGUGGUGGGGAAUGGUAUACUGGUGGUGGUGGAGAAUGAUAGACCGGAGGUGGUGGGAGUGGUAUACUGGUGGUGGUGGAGAGUAGACGGGAGGUGGAUAGUAUACUUUCUUUGGUGGUGGUGGAGAGUAGACGGGAGGAGGGUAGUAUACCUUCUUCGGUGGUGGUGGAGAGUAGACGGGUGGUGGGUAGUAUACCUUCUUCGGUGGUGGUGGAGAGUAGACGGGUGGUGGGUAGUAUACCUUCUUCGGUGGUGGUGGAGAGUAGACGGGUGGUGGGUAGUAUACCUUCUUCGGUGGUGGUGGUGAGUAGACGGGGGGUGGGUAGUAUACCUUCUUCGGUGGUGGUGGUGAGUAGACGGGAGGUGGGUAGUACACCUUCUUCGGUGGUGGUGGUGAGUAGACGGGAGGUGGGUAGUACACCUUCUUCGGUGGUGGUGGUGAGUAGACGGGAGGUGGGUAGUAUACCUUCUUUGGCGGUGGUGGUGAGUAGACUGGUGGUGGGUAGUAUACUUUCUUUGGUGGUGGAGGAGACUUAUAGACGGGUGGUGGAUAGUAUACCUUCUUGGGAGGUGGGGGAGACUUGUAGACUGGAGGUGGGUAGUAUACCUUCUUUGGUGGUGGAGGAGACUUAUAGACGGGAGGAGGGUAGUAUACCUUCUUGGGAGGUGGGGGAGACUUGUAGACGGGAGGUGGGUAGUACACCUUCUUGGGAGGUGGGGGAGACUUGUAGACGGGAGGUGGGUAGUACACCUUCUUGGGAGGCGGGGGAGACUUGUAGACGGGAGGUGGGUAAUACACCUUCUUAGGUGGCGGAGGAGACUUGUAGACGGGAGGUGGGUAAUAAACCUUCUUGGGUGGCGGAGGAGACUUGUAGACAGGAGGUGGGUAAUACACCUUCUUUGGUGGUGGUGGAGAGUAAACUGGUGGUGGAUAGUAAACCUUCUUGGGUGGUGGUGGAGAGUGAUACACUGGAGGUGGAUAGUAUGAUUUCUUGGGUGGUGGAGGAGAAUGGUAUACUGGAGGCGGGUAAUAUACCUUCUUAGGUGGAGGAGGAGAAGCGUAGAUAUAAUUAGCAUUGGUAGUGGACGGCAGAGUUAGGGAAAGGAGAGCAACAAAGGCAGCAAAAAGAAUAGGAGCCAUUGAAGAUCCCAUUUUUCCCAUCCUUGAAUGGAUUGGUGGGUUUUUAACACUGCCUUUCCUCCCCUUUAUAUAGCUUUGUCCUUUUACCCACUUCACUCACUCAAACCCCCCUCUCAAGUCUUAACAUAAUGAUCACCGGUGAAAUCUAAUUUAAUUACUCCACCUAAUUUUUUUUUAAUUAAAAACCAUGAAAAUCAUAUAGACAUGCACACAUAUUAUUGUCGGUAGAUGACAAAGAUAGUUAAAAUAAUAUUAUGUGUUGUCAUCAUGUUUGGACUAAUUUUAUAUAACCUUCCACCAAGGAUUUUACCUUUUCAAUAUAUACAUAUAUGUGUGUAUAUCUGACAUUAAAGAUGUGAGAUAUUUUUGUUCAUCAGGGUUGCUUAAGCUGAUAAUAAACACAUAUAUAGUUAAAUUAAUCUUACAUACACCAACAGUGUUACUAGUUAGAUAUGUAAAUAAAUUUAUAUAAUUAAAGUUACUCAAAAUCUCAAAAUGAUGUUAAUAAUUGGUGUAAUAUAAAAAGUAAUUAGCUAGAAAGAGAAAGAAAUAAUUAAAUUGAAAAUAUAAUUUGGUGAAUUAGUGUUGGAAUUAGGAGGAGGGGUUGAUGGGAGUGGGACCCGGCGGCUUGACUUAUUCUUCAUCUAAUUUUUAAGCUUUGAGAAUGGGAGCGAUGGUCCAUUUUGUAGGGUUGCUUUCACUGUUACACAAUUUGCAUGGCCUUGGCGUUUACUCCUACGUUUUUCUGUGGGCGACCACUGGGGUUCCUAUUCAAAUACUUCCUAUCUAUACUUUUUCUUUUUUCUUUUUGUUCUUUUCAUUUUCCUUUUUUCUUCUUUUUGAAUCACUUCUCUUCUCAAAUUCCUUUCCUUUUGUAAUGUAUACUACGUGAAUGAGACCAUAAUUCAACCAGACAAAUAAGUUCUUAGUCUGAAUAUGUAAAAAGCAUCUAUAUCUUAUUCUAUUUAAUCUACGUGCUAUCGUUUACACAAUUUAUAACUUACAUAUACUAUGCAUUAACCACUUGAACAUGUAUGUGUCAAAAUUAUAUUUUUUUGUUAAAUUGUGUUAGAAAUAUUUAAAUAAUAAUUUGAGAACUUGAAUAUAGACUAUAAAUUACAAAUUUAGUUUUUUGGAUUUUAAAACAUAUAUAAUGAGUCUUUUUAAUCAUGCUACAAAACAAUUCGUUAUAUUAUGUUUCUUAAGAAUUUACUAAUAUAUUAUAAACAAAAUUUAAAGUUACUAAUAUAAGACAUUGUUAAUCUUUUCAAUACAAAUUAAAACUUAGUAACAUAUUCUAACUUUAAUCUAAGAAAUAUGAUGGAACAUUUUUAAAAAUAACAAAAUGAACAAUUUUUUUCUUUUACAAAAUAUAAUAAAACUCAAAUCUACCGGAAAUUAUUAGUAUUUAUAAGUUAUAUGGAUAGAAAUAAUGUAAAUUUAUAUUUUAUAAAUAUUUUUGUUAUUUAUAAUAAAUUUUUAAACAUAAUUGAUAUAUUUUUCUAAAAUAAAUUCGUGAAUGAAAGAAAUAGAAUGUAAUUAGAUUUUAAGAGGGUCUAGAUUCAUUUACAUACCCAAAGGUGAAUUAUUGAGGUUGGAGUCAUUCUACACUUUCAAAAUGUUUAAUUUAAAAAAUAAAUUAUUUGGAAGAAAAUUAGAUUAUUAUUUGGAAGCUACUAAAAACAGUUUUUUAAAUAUAUUUUAAGCAUUUUUAAAAAUAAAUUUAAACAAACAUAAGUUUCUUACAAAAUAUUUUUUUCUUAUGUUAACCUAAGAGACUAUAAAUCUUUUUGUCUUUAUGGUAGAUUGGUUCUUCCUUUUUGGAAUAAUCUAUUACAAUAAAUGAUUUAAUUUAAUGUUUAAUUUAAUUUGAAUUGAUUAUUUAUGUUCAUAUCAAAUAGAAAAAUAAAACCUAUUUUUCCAAUAUAUGCAUUAAAAACCUCUGAUUUUUUUGUUUGCUUCAUUCCAACUACUCUAAGCUCAACUUUUAUUUCCUCUUCCUACUUUCUCAAUUUAAUUUACCUAUCAACUCCAAUUACAUAAUGGUGCCCACAAAUACUUUUUCUAUUCUUUUUCCCCAAGGAAAUUAAUAAAAUGUUAUGUUGUUAAUUAAUAUAUAUGGAUUCCAUCAAAAUAUGAGUUAUCAAGGUAAGAAUUUGACCGUAAAUUUAUAUAUACAUUUUUUAUUUGUUGUGAUUGUGAUAUCCUCAACCAUAUUUUUGAAAGAAAAAGAUAACAUAUAUUUUCAAAUAUAACGAAAUAAAUCAAAAUAUUUACAAAAUAUAAAAAAAAAAUUAUAUAUCAUUAUAGUUGAUAUUGAUAGACAUGGAUAUAAAUUGUCUAUUAGGUGUUUAUCAUUAAUGUAAUAUAAAAUUUUGGAGAUAAUUUUAAUAGUUUUAUCCUAGUCCAAAAUUAAUUCCCAAUUGAGGCAUCACAAAAUGGAAAUUUUCUUCCUAAUAAGUCUACACUUACAUUUAAUAAGGUUGAUAGACAAGUUGAUCUGAUUAGGUGACAUUCAUAUACAUAUAUAUGAUCUAGACUAUAUAUUAAUAUUAAUGAGGGUAAUUUUAUUAGCCACUUAUUAUUAUAAAUCAAAACUCUUAAAUAAAAAAGAAAUUAAAAAUGAAAGAAAAAAAACGAAAAAUUAUUAGUUUAAUUUUCGAAAAUCAAAUCUCAAUGGUGAAAGUGGAAUGAACGUCUCAGCAUACAGUGUGCAAAUUAAUUUGCGAAUGAAUGUUGCUUUUUAUGAUCAAGUCUUGAUUCAAUUUACUUGGAUCAAUAGCUUUAUUCAAAUUUUUGAAUUUUUUUUUCGAUAGACUAUAAGUUAUAACAUUAGAGUGAGAACAGAUUCAAACCUACAAUAUGCUCAAAUUAAAAUUAAAAUUGUAUCAUUGGAAAAUAUCUAUUUUUAAAAGCAUUUCAUGUUUUUUCUUUCCUUUCCUUUGGAUUGUGUAAGUCAUAUAUAGUUUAUUGUGUAAGCAAUACUUUUAUACACUUUUCUUUCAUAAUUGAAACGACAAUGAUGUAAUGAUAUAUGUUGUAUUAGGACAACAAAUUUUUUAAAUAUUUCUACCGUGUAUAGUAUGAUAUUGUCCACUUUAUGUAUACAUCUUAAUAGCAAAUUUGUAACCAUUUAUUUUUUAUAUGUCAUACAUUAGUAUUUUAGUUUUGAUGGUGAAAUAUUUUAUCAAAAUGAAAUAUAGAUAUUAAUCACUUAACUAUAUACUCAUUGAUAUUUAAUUGAUUUUCACUCAAUUUUAGUUACAGAAGCAGGAAGCUUUGUUUAGGACUUAAAUCAUUACCACUUUUAAACUACAAAGGAUCGUUAUAAUACUACACAUUAAAGAUUAAACUAAAUUUAUACAAAUUGGUAAGUAUAGAAACUAAAUUAUCUACAUCCUUACAAUUUAAGAUCAAAACAGUUAUUUAAAUAAUAUUAUUACAUAACCUAACAAUAAUUGUUAGGGUUAAUGGUUAGAUCAUAAAAGAAAAUUGUAUGUGAAGAUACUAACCAAAUUAUGAUCCAGGCCUAUAAAUAUAGAUGAAAUUUCAAACUUCCAACAUUUUUUUCUAGAGUUUCUGUAUUUUUUUCUAGUUAAACUAUAAUCAAGGUUACAUAUGAGCCAUCAACUAUAUAUAUAUAAGAGAAUAGAUUAAUUAAUUAAAUUUUUGUGGGGAGUGUACGUAUGCACGUAAGAAUCAUAUGGUAUUUUGACAUUGAAUAUUUUUGUGUUGGGUGUGAGUUGUUUAAAGUGGGAGUAGGUGAGAAAUAGUUCAGAUACGUAAGUAAAAGAUAUGUUGGGUUUGGGUUAGGAAAAGUUGUUAGCUAAUCAAAUCAUUUUUAGCCAUUCAUAUGUGUUCAAUAUUAUUGGAGGAUUCUAUAACAGUGUGCUAGAAAUCAAACACAAUAGAAACUAUAACAAUCUUAUCUUAUCGGAGUUAGCUAGAUAUAAUACGAUUUGUUGUAUGAUAAACGAACUUACAAUAUAUUUUUAAAUCGAUGUAUGUAUGAGAAACGCAAUAUAUUAAAACAAUUUUUCUUUGUUUAAUUAUAACUUUUGUCAAAUGGAAAGUUAGGGUUUAGGACAUACUGCCCACAAUAUGCCUAAGCUCUAAAUUUUAAAAAUCACAAUGUGAGAUGUAAGACAAUUCAAUCGAAUAUUUAAAAGAUUAGUAAAAGCAAAUAAACGAUAUAUUUACGAUAACUCAAUUUAUUUAACAUUUUUUUUAUAGGUUUUCGAAUUCAAUUCAACUUUUCACUUAGAAAACGAACAUUCUAAAUUCACAAAUAACUCAACUAGUAAAUAUAGAUAAUAUAUUUAGUAGAUAUUUUAAAAAUUGUGAAAUGAUAAAACGAAGACGAUGAAACUACAAAUAUAAAUAUCAAAAUAAUAAUAUUAUCGUGAUAAAAGCAGUACAAACUACAAAUGAAUAAGCUUAUUUAUUCAUUUGUUUGAACUUAUUGAUUUAUUUACUAUCACACUUUUUCAUAUCUAAAAUGAAUAAGUAUUAUAAGAUACACCUGUUUAUAUAAUCUCCAUCUGUCCAUAAAAAUUAAAAUAAAAUGAACAUUUUAAUCUGAUUUAUGUGCGAUAGAGAGAUAAACGACACAUGGAUGGAUACAUGUACAUGAACACAAGUGUUCUUUGGGAGGAAUAUUAAUGCACAAUUGGUUUAUCUAUCCCAUUCUCGGAUGUUUCGGUCAAACCCUGUGACUUGGCGCCUAGUUGGACGGAUUUCCGCUUUUAAAAAACCAAAAACAAUGCUAUUUGGUUUAAUUUAAUCAAACUAUUAUUCGCCUACGCUUUUUUUUUUUUUUCAUCUCUCUACUUAGCUAUCAACUUCAUUUUAAAAGUGGAGGGCGAAAAUGCCAAACUUUAUAAAUUUGUUUUAAACGAAAAUUGCUAAAAAAAUUAAAUAUAUCGUGAUAAAUUUUACUAUAUUAGUAGAUAUUUUAGUUUAUAAUUAUAAUAUUACAUUUAAAAAUGAAUUCUUUAAAUUUUGUGGAAAAAUAUAAUAUAAUUUUAAUCUAUUAAAUUGCAGGAAGAUUGAAAAAUAAAUUGUUAGUCUAGUAUUAUCCAAAUUGAAAAACUUAAUUGAAAAAUUUUGAAAAAUUUAGAGAUUAGAGAUAUAUAUAACAUUCAAAAUAUAUAAAUAAAGGUAUGUAAUUUAAUAUAAAACAUAUAUGAAGACAGAGAAAUGCAUGAAAAAGCAAUCAUAUCACAACUCACAAAAUUAAAAAGACACAAACCAAAAGAGAAAAAAAUCUUUUAAAAGGAAAAUUUAAAUGAAGAAAUGAAGAUUGGAAUGUGCACUAACAAUUAAACUUCUUGAUCGGAUUGGAAUAUGGAAGAUAAAAAAAAUAAUAUGCAUACGAUAUUGUUGUGAUUAACUCUCAAUUAAUUAAUAUAUAUCACAGGAACCUGUUAGUCAAUGAAAUCCAAAUUGUUUUCUGACCCUCAAUAUGAACGUAUGACAUUUUGGCCCUUAAGUUAUAAUAUAUAAUGAGCAAUAGUUAAUUUAUUAAAAAAUAAAACCAAUAAUAAAAAAAAGAUAAUAGCGUAGAAAGUUGAAAAAAAAUAAUGAUAAAAGGAGUUGUUAAUUAAUGAAUUUGUCAAAUGUGUAUCACAUUUAAUAUUUUAAAAAAUUGACAUGUUUGGUCACCAUAUAUUUGAUUCUUGAGGACAUGUACUAUAUUAUUUUUUUAGAAGCAAUAAUUCUAUAUAAAAAUUGUAUUAAAUGAAAAAAUGGUUAAGAAUAUUUUAAAAUAUAGUAAAAAAUUUAUUAGUGAAUGAUAAUAUAUAGCCGUAAAUAUUUAAAAAUGAAUAUAUGUUAAUGUAAGAAUUGGUAUUAUCUUUGCUACCAAAAUUGUAUUGUUUGAAAAUAGCUGUCAAAUUUAUUGUUUACUACUUGUUCAAUCUCUUAUCCAAAAUUAGGUCCAAUGGUGACUCAGGGUCAAAUUGGCCAAUAAAUGUAAUAUAUUCUUUUUCUUUUUUAUAAAGGCGAUAAUAUUAUUAAUUAAUAUGAGGUAGAUACAAAUAUAAUUAAAUUUAGUGUGAGAUCAUUAUGAGAUGGAUCAUUGCUCACACAACUGGGUUUGAAGUUUUAAUUACUUCUUCUCCCACUUAUAUUAAUUUAAUUUUGUAUAUUCAAUCUUCUUUUAGUUAUUUAAAAAGUGGAAGUAGUGAGAUGAAAUUCUCUAAACAUCACCUUCGAAAAUAGCCAUUAAGAUGAAAUAGCAAACAAAUAUUGUUUAAAAAUAUGAAGUUAUCGAAAAUGAUAUAUAUAAAAAUAUUUGGAACUUUGCAAUAAUAGGUUUUUUCGUAUUAAUGUGAGCAUAACUCUCAAAUGUGUACAUUUCAAAUAUUAUCAAUUGUAUCUCAAGAUUUAUGGUUAGACUUCUUAGCAACUAUUACCCAUAUAUAUUUGUUUUGAAAGAAAUAUUCGAACUUACAACAUUUAUUUUUCAAGUUCAAGUUGAUGUAUGUUAUUUAAAUGAAACUAAAACUUUUAGGUUUUUAACCAAUCUUUCAAUCUAUGGUUUUCAAGUUUUCUAAUGAUAGAUUUAUACUUUAGUUUAACUUUUGAAAAUAUGAAUAGAAAGUAAAUCUGUUAUAUAUAAAAGUAGUAAAUUAGGUGUACACUAACUAUGUUUCAAAAAGAGAAAAAAAGAAAAAAUUAAAAGAGGGUUUAUUAACUUUAAUUUUCAAAAAUUAAAAGAAAAUCAAAUACUUAAUAAAUAAAAAUAAGAUGGUUUUCAAAUGAACAAAAUGAAUCAAACUCUAACAAAAUUUCAAAAUUUAUAAACUUUUAGAAUAUUUCUAUCAGAUAAAUUAUAAAUCAUCUAAAAGUUCAGUUUCCUAUUAAUUAAACAAGACAUUAGAUCUAAUUAAGUUAGGCAGAUAUUAAAAUAAAGUUUGGGCACCGAAUAAAAUAUCCACCAAAGUUGUUUCCAAAAUCAUCAUUAAAAUAAAUUUUACUGGAUCUGCCUAACUUAAUAUUAAAAGAAAGAUUCAAGAUGUGAUAAAAAAUGAAAUUAAACUAUUUGUUAAAAACCAUUUCCCUUUUGACUUUAUUUUAGAUCUCAUCAUUUAUCCAGCUUUGAUUUUUUUAUUUUUUCAAUUUUUAUGUGAGAAAGACACUCAAUAAUUGUUUUCAAAUACAAACAAAUUACAAACUAAAUAACUCCAAGUUGUGGAGGCUGCCAAGACUUUCAUGGGAGGUGUCAAAUAUAUAUGUGAUUGAAUUUGAAAAUUAUUUAAAAUAAAAAAUUGUUAUGGAUAGUAGAAAAGAAUUAUAACUACAAAGUAUAGUCUUUAAUUUGAUAAUUUUUUCGCAAUAUUUAAAAAUGUAGUCAUUCUUCUUAUCUUAUGUCAUAUUGAAAUAUUAUUCAGGUAAAAAACAACAUUCUCUAUUUUCUUAAAUGAAUAAUUUGUUAGGUAUUAGAAAUACUUUUUAAUUGGAUAUACCAAGGAAACACUAUUCUCCACUUAGCGAUACAUAGCAAUGUUGAUGUCAAAAUUUCGUCAACAAAUAUUGGUGUGACCUUAGUUUGGCAACAAUGGUGAAUUUGUAAUUUUGGGAUAAGUUGAUCUGCAAAAAUCCGAAUAAGGUUGGGCACACUGAUGUGGUGUAAACUACACUGGUUUCGGUACUUAGUAAGUUUACAAGAAAAUCUGUAAUGAAAGUAUAAUCAAAUGCACAUAAGACAACGUACCUUCUUUGUGCUUCCAUCAUCCUUCUAUUUAUAAGGUCCUAUCUUUUCUUUUCACAGUAGGUUUUCUUCAAUCGUCAUCCAUGUUAGCUUUCGAGAUCUGGACCCUCCUUGACCCAAAGUUGAGCCUUCCAUUAUAGGUGUCGGUUAAUUUCCUGUAAUGACCCAAAUUUUUAAUAACCAAGCUGGAGUCAUUACUAAUCUAAUUAUCUUUAACUUUCUAAAAACAAUAACGGAAGCAUAAACCAAGUAGUUCCUAUAUGGCUAGUCACAGGUUCUUCUUCUUGUCGCUCGUUAGCUUGCCUUUCCUCUUACCUUUGUCUGAAAAGUUAAACAUGAAAAUGGUGAGUAUAAAUAUAGUACACACAGUAAGGGAUUCACUACUGGUCUUGCUAGGUAAACCGAUAACUUCCUAUUAGGAGGUACCCUGAGUCGUCAUAUCAGUCUAGUGAUCUCGUAGGAACACAAAUCAGGCAUCAAGUGAACCUAAACGUACACUUAACAGUCAAUCAGUCAUCAAUAUCAGUCUAAAGGUAGUGAUCUCGAGGGACUUCGUACAUGUGCAGAGUACACUAGCCUAAGAACUAAAGGUAACAACUA